rnacentral:lncRNA from 1 species
UCUUUGCAAAAAGAACCUAGAUUUAGGGUCCAAGUUACUGGCAGAGAUCUCUCCACAUCAUGGAAGACCAGGACAUCUGCUGUGGGCAAAUACCAGUUGACCUAAUGUAAUCAAUUGCAAUCCUAUUUUGCUUUAUUAGGAGUGCCAUAAGUGACAUAAAUAAUAACUACGGAAAUGAAAAUGGAAGUCUUCAGAUGGAGCCCUAAGAGGAAAAGGGCAUUUACUUCUUGCUUACUCGGUGUGUUGUUGUUGGUAAACAUAAUCCUUUGAGAACUGCCAACUGUCUCAAGUCCAGAAGGUGACAAACAGGAGAAUGAGAACCAAUGUGCUGAUGAUGGUAGCAGGGGUGGCUACAAGGAGUCAGGAUCCUUGGUGACAUCGUGUAAUUACUGAGUGAGUUCUUGGCUAUCCAUCUUCACAUUUCUUCUCUGAAAUAAUGUUUAAGUUACUUAAAUCAAAUAUUCUCUUACCUGCAACCAACAGCCUUACUGACUGACUCUAUGAUGCUCGUUCCCGACCUGUUUGAUGAGAAAUAACAUCUGGAAAGAGCCAAAGAAGUACCUGCAUUUAGUAAGCACUUGGCAAUCACACAGCUCACAUUUGUUACAGUUGUUGAUCUAUAGGCUCUCUGAGAAGCAAUGGGGUCCUCAGCAAAGAGAAGCAUCCUGGUACAGUCAUGAUGUGCAGGAUGAACAUUUCAGUUUCCAGUCUUGUCAUAGAGGGCAGCCAUGA